AUUGAACGCUGGCGGCAGGCCUAACACAUGCAAGUCGAGCGGGGUUUUCGGACCUAGCGGCGGACGGGUGAGUAAUGCGUAGGAAGCUACCCGAUAGAGGGGGAUACCAGUUGGAAACGACUGUUAAUACCGCAUAAUGUCUACGGACCAAAGUGUGGGACCUUCGGGCCACAUGCUAUCGGAUGCGCCUACGUGGGAUUAGCUAGUUGGUGAGGUAAUGGCUCACCAAGGCGACGAUCCCUAGCUGGUUUGAGAGGAUGAUCAGCCACACUGGAGCGGAGACACGGUCCAGACUCCUACGGGAGGCAGCAGUGGGGAAUAUUGGACAAUGGGCGCAAGCCUGAUCCAGCCAUGCCGCGUGUGUGAAGAAGGCCUUCGGGUUGUAAAGCACUUUCAGCGAGGAGGAAGGGGUGAGUGUUAAUAGUACUCAUCUUUGACGUUACUCGCAGAAGAAGCACCGGCUAACUCUGUGCCAGCCGCCGCGGUAACAC
rnacentral:rRNA from 1 species